rnacentral:lncRNA from 1 species
AUGAAUAAUAGUACCCCCUCACUUCUCUCUUCCCUGGGGGGCAGCAUGGGGUUGGCCAUUCCAUCUCUUACCAGGAUAUCUCACUCUUCUACUUUGCACCAGAACUGGGACCUUAGAAUCCCUGCUCUAGCAUUCAGUGCAAUACUAUGGUGUCCUAAACUUGUCCAUAUUCUCCAUCAGGCUGAAGGCUUCCUUGAGGGGAACCCCACAUUUCCACAUUUCUACUUCAAAAAAGCAUCUAGGGUGUCAACUUGUUUUCACAGUUCCAUUAUGAACCACAAGGAACCAGCCUUUCCCCAUAACCCCCCCCCCCCCGCCCCCAAUUUCUAGGUCAGGUCGUGUUGGUUUCGUUGAGCAAAACUUUUGGCAAGGCUGUAGCUUUGAGUCUGUAUUCUGUCUCUGGCUUCUUUCUGGAGCAGACUCAAUAUUUUGAAUACUCGGAGGUGGGGGGAUAUUGCUGACGACUGGUAUAUGGAGAAAUCAUGAAGUUUUAGCCAGGCGAAGCUAUCUCAGGAAUCUGUAAUGAGUGUGUGUGUGUGUUGUUAUUUCUUUUCCAACAGGCUGUGUAAUUUUUAUGACCAAUUAUUCCAUUUGUAACGACGCCGAGAUAGCAGAGAUCCCAUCUCAUGCUCCAUGGCACACGCCAGGCACUCAUGGGAGCUAGAAGACACCAUCCCUUAUGCAAUUGGAUGGCUUGAGUGCUGGGACAGAGACUGAGUUCUAGCAGGAGAUACAGCCUGGAAUGCUAAGGGAGACUCUGUGACAGGAAGGGUGUGAAGUAGUGGAAGUGGGGCAUGGAGAAGACUAGUUUUAAAACAAAAGAGAUUUACUGGGGACAGAUAAAAGACCGGUCUUCCGCCUGAGAAUUUUGUGACCCAACAAAACUUUGAUGGUGUUAUUUAUGUAUAACGAAAGGAUGGGUGCCUUUGGCUGUGGAACUAGCGUUCUCUCAAGGCCCAAGGAACCAGCCUUUUCCCACAAAAGACUGGAGGGCUCAGUUGGAAAGGACUGGUUUUAGGAAGUUUAGAAAAGACGUGGACCAGAGUAGGGGGAGGAUGCUCCUCUUGGGGCCAGUGGUUCUCUUUUCCCUUCCACUCAACUUUUGAGUCAAGACAGGGCUGAUAAUCUCCUUGACAGAUCUGGUAAUUGGCCCAUCAGGCCUUAAGGCGUGCAGGUUAAGGAUUGACAUUGGGUUUGCUCCUACCGAUUGGUCUGGAACACUCACUUGCCCCUGCUUCCCUAGUGUGUUAUAGGAUCUUUCCCAUCUAUUUGCCCUCUUGCUAUUUUUCUGUCUGCUUUUUUCUUGCCCAUUAAUUGUUAAGGGUUGGAUAUUAGAAGCCAACAGGCCUACGUUUGAAUCCUGGCUCUAUGCUUAGUAUUGUAUUACUCAGAGACUUUACUCUUGUUAUCCCAUCUGUAAAACGGGGGUAAUAAGACCCAUUUCUUAGACUAAUUGUAAGGAUUAAAUAAGAAUGUUUGUUAAGUAAGGGCCUGACAGUAAGUGCUCAAUAAAAGGCAGUGGACUAAUUGCCCGUAGAACUCCCUCUCUGUGCUCCCUGGCCACUUUUUGGUAGAGUAGAGAUGCAGAGAAGGAGUGAUGCACAAGUAGCUGGACAGAAGAGGAUGGCUAUAAAAAAAAAAAAAAAAAACAACCCAGAAGGAUAAUAAGAUGGGUCAAUACUAUGGAGACAGGGACACAAACAGAGUUUGUGGAACAGAGAGUGCAAAACAGACAGAAGCAGAGAGGACAUGAAAGAUAACGCGGAUGGACACGGGGAGAGGAGCAAUGAAAGGUAAGAGAAAGAAGAGGAAGGAUAAAGUCAGAAGGAGGGGAGGGACACGAGUGAAAGCCAGACAGGACUGUCCAAGGCAGAGACGAACGGUUCCUUUGUGGACUCUGGCCUAAGAUCCCCGGGCCAAGAAUAUUCCUGCUCUUUUCUUGCCCUUUGCUACGGUGGCACUCAAGUUCUAAGUCCCUGGUCCCCCUCCCGCACCCCCUGCAAUCUGGUCGUCUACCCCAAAGCUGGAGCAGCCCUGCCGCCUGCUUGCCUAUGCACCUCGGCCUGCACCGUCGUGGUUACCCAAGUCCACAGGGAUUUUUCAUUUCCAACACAAGUGUCUGGAGUGCAGAAGCAUCAUGGUGUCAGCCAGUCAGUGCAAUAACCAGGUGUAGUUUUACAGUCACUCCCCCCUCCCUCCUGACUGUAACAGCACUUUCAUAUAUCUCUGGCUGCGACAGGCAAUUUUCUUUCAAAGAUUGUUUUUUCUGGAGCCUGUGAUUUCUACUCUCGCCUCCAACCUCUGGGAUAUUAAAACGGGGUCAGUGGCUCUUGGCAGGCUGACCGAUUUGUGGUCAUUCCCCAGCUCCCCUGUUCACCCUCCCUGGUUGCCACGUCUCCAGUCUGGGCACCCCCUGCCUCUGCACCCUAAUUGGGCUGGAGGGAAGGGGCUUCUGUGGCCCCCCGUAAUGAGAAGUUCGGCCGUGUGUCUAACCUGAAGAGGAGAGGUUGGGUGGGGUGUGGGUGAAGAUCCAGGAGAGGAUUCACGUUCUAAGCCUCACCCCUGUUCUCCGUGGUCCCCACCGCCCCAUGCUGCUCCGGGGUGGAGCUGUCAGUUCCUUUGCACAAAAAGGUUGUAGUAGCUGAUUUUCCAGGGGGAACAUUCUGAAGAAAGUAGCGAAUUGAACUAAGAUUUGACAUAGAGGGAUUUUUCUCUGCUGGAGACUAGGAAUGGGUGGGAAGCUAGUGUAUGUCUUUUUCUGGGAAAUUUGGAGAAUUCCCAUACAGAUGAAGGGCUGGGCUCAGAGAGACCCGGCAUAUGGGGAAAGGAUACAGCAAGCUUUGGGUCCUUGCUUCCCUAAAGAGAGACUCUGUGACUCUGCUCUUAGAGCGGCCAAAAGCCGUCGCUUCCAUUGUUUGCUGGGGUGGCAGCGGCUGGCUAGCAAAAUCGCUUCUCUAUUUCACCAGGUAGGGGUUCUUUUUUUUAGAAGAAAGAUCUAAACCUGCUUUCGGGGUUGCCUAUUUUAGGAUUUCUCUGUUCCCUUCCUUGACCUGCGGUCUGAUGCAAAAAUCCUUUCUGAAGUCUAACUCCUGCUCCUCUUGCUUUGCCAACAGAUCAAAUCUUCUUGAAAAACAACAUGACACCACACACUCCCCCUCCUCACUCAUACCAUCCCUUGUUUUUAUUAAAUAAAAGUAAGUGGAGCUAUAAGAUGUGACUGGCCCGGAUCCCAGCUUCAUAAAACAAAACUAACACCCUCUUUAUCAAGGGGCUGAGGCAUCCAGAGAAGAUUUCUUAGGCCAUUUUGCUGUCACGUAAAUGGGAAUCAAUAUUCAAUAAGCCCUUGAUGCACUACACUAGCGGUUCACUUAAUACCGGCUUCCAGUACAGUAAGUGGCGUUGAUAUAGGGAGGGUUUGUUUGUAAAAUAACACUGCAGCCCUCACCUUCUGGAUACUGGAUCCGGCUUCCCCUCGGAGGAAAGAUUCAGGACUCGGAGCAAGCACGAGAAUCAUCUGGCCGGGCCUGCUGCCUCCGCUGCCUCCUCUCCUAUAGCCGAGCUUGAGAAAGAAAACAGAUUCUAUGCUUUUCUUUCUUUCUUUUUUUUUCUUUCUUUUUUUUAGAUUCUACGCUUUUCAAGCAACCAUUUCUAAGAUCCUAACGGUUAAUAGGCCACAUUCCUAUUAGGAGAUUUCUCACUGUGCCUGGUCUGAUUGCCUCUCCAUUUCCAAUAAAUUAGCCAAAGUGGAAACCAGUUGGAGGAUAGAACUGAUCCCACCACGAACAGGUGGGAGUGGACUCCCCGGUGCUCCCAGAGCCUGCAGGAGUUGGGAAUAAUAACCUUAUUCCCUCCGUCCCUGCGUGUGCUACAGGGGAAGACGGCUGGCUGCCUGGCCCCCUGGUGGAUGCGCCGAGGGUCUGGCGUUCUCUGCGUCUCCUGACUCCAAGUUUGGUAGGAAACCGACCACUUAAACAUGGUCAAUCAUUUAGUUUCCAUCCUAGGACGUCCUUGCAGGGAAUUGGUAACCUUAGACUUGUUUUCCCACAGCUCCAAGGAAGCAUGCGUUAAGGAAAAGCAAUCUCCCGUCUGCCUAAACAACACAGAUACAUCUUGUACAGAAAUUUUGCAUCAUACAUUUCAGGGCUCAAUGGAUUUUUGAAAAUUUAUCAAACAUUUUUAGGUUGUCUGUGUUCUCCAUUCCCAGUGUUCAUAGAGAAUGUGGGAUUCACAAUCUGGGGUGGAAGUGGAAAUUUACAGAGAGAUUUAUCCUGUAUUUUGGUCUCAGUUAUUUCUUAUUUAUUAAUUCAUGAGAGAGGCAGAGACACAGGCAGAGGGAGAAGCAGGCUCCAUGCAGGAGCCUGACGUGGGACUUGAUCCCGGGUCUCCAGCAUCACGCCCUGGGCCGAAGGCAGCGCUAAACCACUGAGCCACCCGGGGAUCCCCCGGUCUCAGUUAUUUCUUAUGCCACUUAAGGGGCUUGACAGUUUGG